UCAAAUGGAGAGUUUGAUCCUGGCUCAGGAUGAACGCUGGCGGCAUGCCUAAUACAUGCAAGUCGAACGAGAGGAAGGAAAG
rnacentral:rRNA from 1 species